rnacentral:tRNA from 1 species
GCCCCGGUAGCUCAGCAGGAUAGAGCGACAGUUUCCUAAACUGUAGGUCGAAGGUUCGAAUCCUUUCCGGGGUA